rnacentral:rRNA from 1 species
UACGUAGGUGGCGAGCGUUGUCCGGAUUUACUGGGUGUACAGGGAGCGUAGACGGCGAUGCAAGUCUGAAGUGAAAGGCCGGGGCCCAACCCCGGGACCGCUCUGGAAACUGCCCGGCUGGAGUGCGGGAGAGGUAAGCGGAAUUCCUAGUGUAGCGGUGAAAUGCGUAGAUAUUAGGAGGAACACCAGCGGCGAAGGCGGCUUACUGGACCGUGACUGACGUUGAGGCUCGAAAGCGUGGGGAGCAAACAGG